UUGCUAGACAGGGGGCAGGGCCACGAUGACGUGAUCAUGCAGCCACGCCCCCAACCCCGCCCCUAAGCGUCAUCAAGCCGCAUAUCUACACCCCUGCUGCUCCGACCUGGCUGCCUCCUCCCGGAGGGGGCAGCCAGAUUGUCGGAAUCACCAUGGUUACGGCUGAAUGUGAAACUGCUGAUCAGAACAGCAAGACCCCUGGGUAAAAGGGAAAAAAAGAGAAAGCACUGAUGUUUCUACAUAAGGGAAAGUGCCGCAAGACUGUCAGAGCUUUGUUCCCUGGUCCAUUGGUCUUGGCAGCACUGGUCCUGCCUGGUGAGCCACAGCUGCAGCUGUUUAUCUAAACCCUCUUUGCAAAGAACUAAUACACUAUGACUGGAGAAUGCUCAGACCACCAUACAGUACCACCCACUUCCUGACCGCAGCCAAUCCCCUGCAUCCUGAGGGUUUAUGAAUCUGGCGGCUAGUAGCACAAACUGCCAGAUUAUUGUCCUUCCCUGCCUUGAUCCACUGCUCUCCUGACCUCUGCAAUUCCUGGCAAUCCUCCUGACUCUCUCUGCCUCUAGCUUUGACUACUGACAUCUCUCUCGGACCCCAGUGGCUAAUACGGAUCAAUUGCCACUGGAAUGGCUAUCAAAACAAAGUUUUUAAAAGAAGAUUUUAAAGCUAUGGUUGUUGAUAGAGUAUCUUAUGUACACGACAUGUGUUUUUACACUUUAUAUAACCUAUCACCCCCUUUUUUUUUUUUUUGCUUUAAAUUAUGUAUUUUUAUUCCAAAGUUUUUACUGCCGAAUAAGACCUACAGUUAAACCCGAAAAAAGUAUAGUACGUCUAUGAGAGUGUGCGUCGUCUCCUCUUUUUCAAAAUAAAUAAAAACUUAAAAAUA